UACGUAGGGUCCGAGCGUUGUCCGGAAUUACUGGGCGUAAAGAGCUCGUAGGUGGUUUGUCGCGUUGUUCGUGAAAACUCACAGCUCAACUGUGGGCGUGCGGGCGAUACGGGCAGACGUUGAGUACUGCAGGGGAGACUGGAAGUUCCUGGUGUAGCGGUGGAAUGCGCAGAUAUCAGGAGGAACACCGGUGGCGAAGGCGGGUCUCGUGGGCAGUGAACUGACGCUGAGGAGCGAAAGCGUGGGGAGCGAACAGGA
rnacentral:rRNA from 1 species